rnacentral:lncRNA from 1 species
AGGAUGCAGAGGUGGAGCAGGCACAGGGGAGCUGGAAGAGAUCCUGGACUGCUGUCCUACUUUGGAACAGAAGCAGGUGUGCCAGUCUUAGGUCAGAGGUGCUUAUCCCCACCUGACAACACUUCUCUGAUCUGGCUCCAUGAGACCCAAUGUUUUGAACAAUAGCGUCUGAGUCAGCCAUGCAGCUUGUCACAGGAUGUCCAUGUUCUGAGAAAGCAGCAGGUACAUUGGACACUUGUCAGGACUGGGGGUAAGACUUCUUUUUAACCCAAAACCUCCUGGGCUUUUCUUUUUCCUCUAGUUGAGCCAUGAAGUAAAAUUUAAGUAGCUGUCAGCAUUCUGGAUUUGGUGCAAGAUUACUUAGUUUCCCCGAAGGCAGAACAUUG